AUGAGGCCACACCUCACCUCAGAGUACCCGGGCUCGAGCUCCCACUCCGGCUUCCCAGCUUCCCGCGAAUGUGCACCUGGAGGCGGCAGUGACGCAAGGAACCGGGUCCUGCACCCACUUGGGAGACCCACAUCGAGUCCCCAGCUUCGGCCCAGCCCCUGCACGCCGAGAGCUCCACGCAGAUGUGCAGUGUGGCCUUUCACUGUGCUCUGCCUGUCCCCUGUGUCACACACACUGAGCCGGGUGUGGCCUUUCACUGUGACUCUGUGUGUCCCCUGUGUCACACACUGUGCCGGGUGUGGCCUUUCACUGUGCUCUGCGUGUCCCGUAUCACACACACUGUGCCGGGUGUGGCCUUUCACUGUGCUCUGCCUGUCCCCUGUGUCACACACACUGUGCCGGGUGUGGCCUUUCACUGUGCUCCCUGUGUCCCGUAUCACACACACUGUGCUGGGUGUGGCCUUUCACUGUGGCUCUGUGUCCCCUGUGUCACACACACUGAGCCGGGUGUGGCCUUUCACUGUGCUCUGCCUGUCCCCUGUGUCACACACACUGAGCCGGGUGUGGCCUUUCACUGUGCUCUGUGUGUCCCGUAUCACACACACUGUGCCGGGUGUGGCCUUUCACUGUGGCUCUGUGUGUCCCUGUGUCACACACACUGAGCCGGGUGUGGCCUUUCACUGUGCUCUGCGUGUGCCUGUGUCACACACACUGUGCCGGGUGUGGCCUUUCACUGUGGCUCUGUGUGUCCCUGUGUCACACACACUGUGCCGGGUGUGGUCUUUCACUGUGGCUCUGUGUCCCCUGUGUCACACACACUGUGCCGGGUGUGGCCUUUCACUGUGCUCUGUGUGUCCCUGUGUCACACACACUGAGCCGGGUGUGGCCUUUCACUGUGCUCUGCCUGUCCCCUGUGUCACACACACUGUGCCGGGUGUGGCCUUUCACUGUGCUCUGCUGUCCCCAGGUUUGUACAGAGAAGCACCACUGUGUCAGGGCCGGGCAUUCAGCACAGGCGCAGGAACACAGGCCCCACACAGCCUGAGUGUGCAGUGGGCGAGUCCUCUGUGA
rnacentral:lncRNA from 1 species